AGAAUCAACGCUGGCGGCGUGCCUCAGACAUGCAAGUCGAACGCGAAAGUUCCCUUCGGGGGGCGAGUAGAGUGGCGCACGGGUGAGUAACACGUAGGUAAUUUACCUUUGGGUGGGGAAUAACAGUCGGAAACGGCUGCUAAUACCGCAUAAUGCAGCGGCUCGACAUCGAGACAGUUGUUAAAGCGGGGGAUUCGCAAGAACCUCGCGCCUGAAGAGAAGCCUGCGGCAGAUUAGCUAGUUGGUAGGGUAAUGGCCUACCAAGGCAACGAUCUGUA
rnacentral:rRNA from 1 species